UCUCAUCGUUUAAAAACAAGAAAUGGACAGUGACGGUGGUAAAGGGGGUGAUACCUAGUCAUUUUUUCCGUCUUUAUUGCUUGCCAUCAUCAUUCUCAAAGCCGCAGUUUACUUCUAAGAUCACUUUAGCACCGCCCUAAAAACCCGAUUCAAAUUCGACACAAACUUUCAAAUAGGUAUGUAAUGACACAUUAUAUAAACUCUUUAUAGUGUUUUAUUUACAUUUUUUAGAGGCGAUAAGUUCCCACACGACAUCUGUCCUUCUCACUAUCACGCAUUAGUUUCGCUUCCCCACCCGCCAUAAAAAUUUAAAAAAAGAAGACCCGACGGGGCUCAUUGAUUGAAUUAUGCAGAAACGGGCAGUGUUUAGGUCCUGUAAUUGAUUUUGUUGGAAAGGAGAGAAAUCGUGCAUUGCAAUGGUAUUGACAUUGCAGUUUAUCUGGAAGUAUUACGUUUUUGGGGAACUAAAAUAAGGGCAAUUGUAGGGACCAAGGCGAUGUACGAGUUUACGUUAGUCAGUUAACGUUAUUUCUGGUUUUGUAGGUAAAGCAAGGCAGGCUAGCUAACGUUAGCUAGCUAGCUGUUAGCCUACAACUCGGAUUUGCAAGUUUGUUCGUAUGUCAUAAAAGUGUAUUGUCUUGGGCAAAACUAAAUAAUGGAUGCAGCUAUGGUGGUAGCUAACUCACGUCUGGGUCUGACUAAUACAGUGAAGUAGGAGCAACAAACCAUAACGGCGUCUAGAGAUGCAGUUGGUCUACAUCUGUAAAGCAUAGAAUUAGCUUGACCCGCGUUACUACCCUGAUGACACACGUCUUCAUCAACAACAGUAAUGUGUGUUAUGUAAAAAGUUGUAUAAAAAAUACCUGGUUUUAUAAACUAGUAGGUUAAUUACCCAGCCAAGCAGAUUCAAGCAGUAGAGUAAUUUUGGUUGAGAAGUGCAUUAUCAAAAUGCCUCGUCCAUUCUUUAUAACAAAAUGCAAUUUACCACUGUCUAUUGUAUCAUCCUGUCACAAGCUCUUUCAGUCAACAACACCUAAUGAGGAAUUACAUUGUUUAUGAGGAUUGCCUGCUGCAGUUGUUCGAGAGAUGUCUUGUUUGUAGCUGAACAUGCAACAUAGAGAAGACCAGCAAGGGGACCCUCAGCAUCACACACACAUGCCCUCGCUGUGAGCAUUCCUAUAAAUGGAACAGGGAGGACACUUGAAUCAGAACCAUGACUGUAUGUGUUCACAAUACGUUUAUGGAGCCUGCACCUGGAGACUUGCAAGAUGAUGUGAUGGAAUCCUGACCGACAGACAGGCUUGAUACUGACUUCGCUGAAUGGAGAGACACCUGGGACUCAACACAUCCACAAUGUGGAUCUGAAGAUGAAGAGUACUAAAGAUGCUUUUGCCAGACGCCAGCCUCGGUCGUUUGAUAGAGGGACCAUAAUUGGAAACAUGUAUAGAGACAGCACAUGGAAACUUGCAAGAUGUGAUGAAGUCCAGACUGACAGACGAGCUUAAUACUGAUGCCUCCAAAUGGAGAGAGACCUGACACGGCAUUAAAGUUUUACUACACACAA